rnacentral:ncRNA from 1 species
GUGUUGUAUGAAAGGAGAGAAGGUUAGCAUUCCCCUUGACAAAGAUGGAAGAGGCCCUAGGAGACUCAGGUCAACAACUUCUAACAUUGACAGUCAAGUGGAAGACCCAAUACUAUUAUGGACUACUGCACUAUUUU